CACUAUGUCCUGCUUACUUUUCCUCUUCCCAGAUUGCCCCUAAAUUUCUUCAUGUCAUCAGCAAAUCCUCCCCAUGUUAGUAGAACAAUUUGAAACUUGAACUAAUUCUUAAAGCUAAAACACAAAGAAACCCGACCCGAGAACCAAAAGUAGGGAAUCUCUUUCUCACUUCUAGUCAUUUUGCCCUAACCCCAUCCCAAGAAAUUCCCAAUUUCGAACCUAGUUUCAAAUUUGAAAGUGGGCAAACUGUGUCUCCCAAAUAGAAAAACCCUAGUCCUUGUUUUACUACUGCCCUCUCUAAAAUCUCGCUCCCUUCGAUAUCCCUCACGGUAGUAUAGUGUUGUUGUUCAUUUCAAAGCUCUUUCUCUUUCGAAUCCCAGAGGAUUCUCUCAUUCUGUGGUUCGCUCUUUUUUUGCACUGUGAUUCCAGGUCUUCGAUCGAAGCUUUUCGUGGUUUCUGUACACUUUUGAAGGAGAUGGACCACAACAAUUUGCGAGCAACUGGAACGGAGUUUUUAGCAUCUCAUCAUAUACACAAUAUUUCAAUGUGGAUAUAGAUUUUGUCCUAAACAGAUUAAUAAGCUCCUUACAUCCCAUUGGUGGAGAUUUUUUUAGUAAGAUUGAUGCCAGCCCUCAUUUGUGAGUCCUUAAUUCUCUGUUACAAGUAUAUUGAAAGAAAUGGACAAUACUCUUUUUUACAUUCUAUUUGUUUUAUUUAGUUUUGGAAUCAUUGUGUUUAAAGUGACAAGUCCUUACUGCAUAAAAAAUAGAAGAAGAAGAAGAAGAAGAAGAUAGAGAGAGAAUCUCUCACUAUUCUGAACUUUUAAGGCUCACAUGGAAAUGGCUUACAUGCCCCCAACAUCAAAUGGUUGAGAAUUAUGUUCUUAUAUUGGCAUAACAUAUUUUUAUUUUUCUUUGUUAAGGAAAAAAACAUUGUGGUGUUAUUUUGGUUGUUUUA